UACGUAGGGCGCAAGCGUUUAUCCGGAAUUAUUGGGCGUAAAGAGCUCGUAGGCGGUUUGUCGCGUCUGCUGUGAAAGACCGGGGCUCAACUCCGGUUCUGCAGUGGGUACGGGCAGACUAGAGUGCAGUAGGGGGAGACUGGAAUUCCUGGUGUAGCGGUGAAAUGCGCAGAUAUCAGGAGGAACACCCGAUGGCGAAAGGCAGGUCUCUGGGGCUGUAACUACGUGAGGAGCGAA
rnacentral:rRNA from 1 species